rnacentral:misc_RNA from 1 species
GUGAAUCAUCGAAUCUUUGAACGCACAUUGCGCCCGCCAGUAUUCUGGCGGGCAUGCCUGUUCGAGCGUCAUUUCAACCCUCAAGCUCAGCUUGGUGUUGGGGAUCGGCAAGGCGUCCUCCGGGUCGCGCCGUCCCCCAAAUAUAGUGGCGGUCUCGCUGUAGCUUCCUCUGCGUAGUAAUACACCUCGCUCUGGAGUCUCGGUGCGGCCACGCCGUAAAACCCCCAACUUUUUCUGGUUGACCUCGAAUCAGGUAGGACUACCCGCUGAACUUAAGCAUAUCAAUAAGCGGAGGA